UACGGAGGGUGCAAGCGUUGCUCGGAAUUAUUGGGCGUAAAGGGUAGGUAGGUGGUCUCAUUUGUCUGGGUGAAAGCCUUGAGCUUAACUCAAGAAGUGCCCCAGAAACGGUGAGACUAGAGUGCUAGAGAGGGUUGUGGAAUUCCCGGGUGUGAGCGGUGAAAUGCGUAGAGAUCGGGAGGAACACCCGUGGCGAAAGCGUUCUGCUAGACCUGUACUGACACUGAGGACGAAAGCUAGGGGAGCGAAUGGG
rnacentral:rRNA from 1 species